rnacentral:rRNA from 1 species
UACUCCUACGGGAGGCAGCAGUCGGGAAUCUUGCGCAAUGGGCGAAAGUCUGACGCAGCAACGCCGCGUGAGGGAUGAAGGCCUUCGGGUUGUAAACCUCUUCUCAGGGAAGAUAAUGACGGUACCUGAGGAAGAAGCCACGGCUAACUACGUGCCAGCAGCCGCGGUAAU